CGGGCUGUGGCGCAGCUUGGUAGCGCGCUUGAAUGGGGUUCAAGAGGUCCGCGGUUCAAGUCCGCGCAGCCCGACCA
rnacentral:tRNA from 1 species